rnacentral:rRNA from 1 species
UGUCUGGCCGCACGCGCGCUACACUGAUACGUUCAACGAGCUCCUUGACCGAGAGGCCCGGGUAAUCUUUGAAACCGUAUCGUGAUGGGGAUAGAACAUUGCAAUUAUUGUUCUUCAACGAGGAAUGCCUAGUAAGCGCGAGUCAUCAUCUCGCGUUGAUUACGUCCCUGCCCUUUGUACACACCGCCCGUCGCUCCUACCGAUUGAACGUGCUGGUGAAGCGUUAGGACUGGAACUUCGGGCAGGUCUCCUGCUCAUUGUUUCGGGAAUUUCGUUGAACCCUCCCGUUUAGAGGAAGGAGAAGUCGUAACAAGGUCUCCGUAGGUGAACCUGCGGAGGGAUCAUU